rnacentral:lncRNA from 1 species
GAGUUAGAGAGAGAAAGUGGGAGAAAGAGGAAGAAAGGGUUAGAGAGAAGAUGAGGUUGAAGAUUCAAGAGUUGGAGAGACCUAGAAGCUAAAGUGAAGCUUGAGCUAGGGAAUUAAUAUAACUAAGUAUGAGAAAGUGAUCGUGCUUAGUGUGCAGUUGCUGUUUGUGAGUGGCCUUACCUCACUGUGUCGUCUAGGUCACUCUGAUACGUAACGGGAUGGG